UGGCGGCGUGCUUAACACAUGCAAGUCGAACGGAAAGGCCCUGCUUUUGUGGGGUGCUCGAGUGGCGAACGGGUGAGUAACACGUGAGUAACCUGCCCUUGACUUUGGGAUAACUUCAGGAAACUGGGGCUAAUACCGGAUAGGAGCUCCUGCUGCAUGGUGGGGGUUGGACAGUUUCGGCGGUUGGGGAUGGACUCGCGGCUUAUCAGCUUGUUGGUGGGGUAGUGGCUUACCAAGGCUUUGACGGGUAGCCGGCCUGAGAGGGUGACCGGCCACAUUGGGACUGAGAUACGGCCCAGACUCCUACGGGAGGCAGCAGUGGGGAAUAUUGCACAAUGGGCGGAAGCCUGAUGCAGCAACGCCGCGUGCGGGAUGACGGCCUUCGGGUUGUAAACCGCUUUCGCCUGUGACGAGGCGUGAGUGACGGUAAUGGGUAAAGAAGCACCGGCUAACUACGUGCCAGCAGCCGCGGUGAUACGUAGGGUGCGAGCGUUGUCCGGAUUUAUUGGGCGUAAAGGGCUCGUAGGUGGUUGAUCGCGUCGGAAGUGUAAUCUUGGGGCUUAACCCUGAGCGUGCUUUCGAUACGGGUUGACUUGAGGAAGGUAGGGGAGAAUGGAAUUCCUGGUGGAGCGGUGGAAUGCGCAGAUAUCAGGAGGAACACCAGUGGCGAAGGCGGUUCUCUGGGCCUUUCCUGACGCUGAGGAGCGAAAGCGUGGGGAGCGAACAGGCUUAGAUACCCUGGUAGUCCACGCUGUAAGCGGUGGGUACUAGGUGUGGGGUCCAUUCCACGGGUUCCGUGCCGUAGCUAGCGCUUUAAGUACCCCGCCUGGGGAGUACGGCCGCAAGGCUAAAACUCAAAGGAAUUGACGGGGCCCCGCACAAGCGGCGGAGCAUGCGGAUUAAUUCGAUGCAACGCGUAGAACCUUACCUGGGUUUGACAUGGAUCGGGAGUGCUCAGAGAUGGGUGUGCCUCUUUUGGGGUCGGUUCACAGGUGGUGCAUGGCUGUCGUCAGCUCGUGUCGUGAGAUGUUGGGUUAAGUCCCGCAACGAGCGCAACCCUUGUUCACUGUUGCCAGCACGUUAUGGUGGGGACUCAGUGGAGACCGCCGGGGUCAACUCGGAGGAAGGUGGGGAUGACGUCAAGUCAUCAUGCCCCUUAUGUCCAGGGCCUCACGCAUGCUACAAUGGCUGGUACAGAGAGUGGCGAGCCUGUGAGGGUGAGCGAAUCUCGGAAAGCCGGUCUCAGUUCGGAUUGGGGUCUGCAACUCGACCUCAUGAAGUCGGAGUCGCUAGUAAUCGCAGAUCAGCAACGCUGCGGUGAAUACGUUCCCGGGGCUUGUACACACCGCCCGUCAAGUCAUGAAAGUUGGUAACACCCGAAGCCGGUGGCCUAACCGUUGUGGGGGAGCCGUCGAAGGUGGGACUGGUGAUUAGGA
rnacentral:rRNA from 1 species